GGGUGUCAAUUUGCAAAAAAGCGAAAAAAAGAAAACAUUUUGGAAAAUACGCAAAGCGCGACGGGCAAAAAUCGAAGUUGAAAAAUAAAUGGAAGACAAUUUCGUCAAGCCAGAAACGAGAGGCCAAUACACUGAGAAACAAAUGGACUAAAAAUAGGGUAAAUUCUUAAAAAUAUUAAGAUAGAGAAUUAUUAAUUAGGAGGCAAAGUUAAGGGUUUAAUUUCAAGGGUUGUAUAGUUCUGACUACUUUCAGAGGAUUUUUAUUAUAAAGAGCAGAGCUUGAUCUUUACAAUUUAUUCUUUAAACCUUUUAUAAUUUUAAAAUAUUAAAUUUGUAUUUAAUAAAUAUUAAACAACAUCUUUUUCAUUUUGCACUCUGCUUAGCUGCGGCUCAGUUAAGUCCAAUGGCAGGUCCUGUUUGUUUAUGCGGCCUAUAUGGGUUCCAAAUAAAAAAUGGCUGCCAAAGGCAGAGCCACACACUCACACACACAUGUGUGUGUGCUGGUGUGUGACUGUGUAAUAAGAUAUUUUAGUGACUUGUGUCACAGCGCAUGCAAAUCCAUCAAAUGUGCUGCUGCUACUGCCGCCACCCGCCGAUAUCCAUCCAAAAAGAAGCUCCCUUUACUUAUUUGUAAUGGGAUCACAAACACACUUCAAUUUCAUUUGUGACGCUUUACGCACAAACACACUGCCAAAAAGGAGGAGGAUGGAUGGGUGGUUUGGCGAGAUGAGAGCUCAGAGUCAGCGUAUCAAUCACAAAUUAAUGAGAUGUGAGUGCCGCACAGUUUCAGGAGCUCAGACCGAAAGAAGAACUCCAAACUGACAGUUUGCCAUUUUGCCGGAAAAGCUGGAAAAGUGAGUUGAAGUGGUGAAGAAGUGGGGAAGUACGAAAUUUACCCAUGAAAAUGUCGCCCGACCAAAUUACAUACAAUUCAUCACAUUUCAUUUGGCAGAGUCGAUCCAGGACUCAGAGUACAGUCCCCCCUUACAGUCUUCUCCCCAAAACAUAUAUAUCUUUUCUAUUUCUGUAUCGACUGCGUAUACGUAUUAGUGUUCGGUUACUGUUUCUGUUUCAGUUUUGAGGUCCUGGCAAAUUGGUCAUGGCCCGUGUUUAAUGGGCUUUGCGACAAAGGCUUUCAAACGAGCUUUGUGCCACACAGGAAUACUCGCAGCCCCACAAAAUCUCCAGCAUGUGUCGCCGGCUUUGUCUGUCCAAUUUGCUUUCCAAAUCCAAUUGCUUGAUAUGUGUACAUAUAAAUAAGAGUAUGUACAAGAUAUUUCAAAUACACGGCAGGGCGAUAAAGUUUUCUGCACCAGGACAACCAGGACGAGGAGGAGGACAAGGAUGAGGAUGAGGGCACACCCACAUCAUCGAAUAUGCAUUAUUUUGACAUUAGCAUAAUUUACUCUGCGGCAAAAUGUCGCGCACUCCAGAGGAUGGGAAGGAUGAAGAGCCGUAUCCUGGGACUCAUCCUUAGACAUCCUGACGGUCUGUCAUUGGCACUGAGGCAGCACGCUUUGUAACAAAUAGGAUUCCAUCAUAAUAAUGUUCUGACUGCCUUACCCUUAGCUCAAUAUAUAUAUUUAGAAUAUAUACAAGGAAUAUAUAUAUAUAUACUUUUGUUUGUGUAUGUGUCCUGUGACAAAUACGACAGGAUUCGCAAUUGCAAAUAUUUCAAACUCAAACACACGACACAUCCCUCUACUAUUCCCUGGCUCGAGCUUUCUCCGGUUUUCCUCUUUUUUGGCUUGGGGAUUUGCUUUCAGCUUUCUGCCAUUCUGCUGAUGCUCGGCAAAAUUGAUGACUAUAGUGCGUGAUGUCAUUUGCAUGACAGUUGAGCAUCCGCAGAAUAGCAGCCAGAACAGAGGGCAGAGUUACAGGGGCCAGGGGCUGAAGAACUUAAGCGAAAAGUAUCUACAUUUAAGAGAUAUUCGAGACUGCUAAGCAUAGGAUUGUAGAUAUAGAUUUUUUAUACAAACUAGGGACCUGUUUAGUUACAAUUUUCAAGUUAGUUGAGAACUUUAAUAGCUCUAAAUUAAAACUAUUAUAGAUCAUGUAUUAAUAUUUCCAUAAAUAUAAGUCCAAUCCUAGUUCCAAGAACUUGAUAUACUCUUUAUAUCUCUCACUUUUAUUUCCCCAGUCAAUUAACAUUUCAAUGUCAAUUUCCUACUGCCUACUGGAUGGGGGCAAGGCAACAAAUCUCGGGCAGCCAGUGGAAAAAGAAAAAUUUGUUCUUGACCUAGAAACAAAGGCAGGCACCAGGCAGCACAGGCACAAAACGAUGACGACACCAGACAGGGGAUUCCCCACCAACGACGACGUCACCAAAAAGGCCAGGAC